AGGUUCUCCCCGAUGCCCUGAGCCCCCUCUCGUCCCCUCUCCUCACUCCCCGGCGGCCCCAGCACCGACGGCUCUGCUCCGACGGGGCCCUGCCCCCGCUGCAGGGCUCGGGGCGGCCCCAAAUCAUCGGCCCCGAGGAGGAUUGUGAGCCCGGAGACUGCAACAACGAGAGCGAUUCCGUGUUCCAGGAUCUGCCCACGCUCAAAUCCCGCCCGGCUCAUUUGGGGGUUUUCCUGCGUUUCCUCUUCUCCCAGGCUGAUCCCAGCCCUCUGCUUUUCCACCUCUGCGCCGACGUUUUCCAGCAGAGCAAUCCCAAAGAUUCCCGAAAUUUGGGAAGGGACAUUUGGAACAUCUUCCUGGACAGGA